UAACACAUGCAAGUCGAACGAGUGGAACUUGUUCUGCUAGUGGCGAACGGGCGAGUAAUACAUAUUUAACUUACUUUUACGAGGAGGAUAGCAGCUCGAAAGGGCUAUUAAUACUCCAUAGGUUUAUAAACUAAAUUAAAGAGGCUCCUCUGGGGCCUUGCGUAAAACUAGGAAUAUGUCCUAUUAGGUAGUUGGCGGGGUAAAGGCCCACCAAGCCAAUGAUGGGUAGCUGGACUGAGAGGUUGAACAGCCGCAAUGGGAUUGAGAUAUGGCCCAUAUUCCUACGGGAAGCAGCAGUGAGGAAUUUUUCACAAUGGACGAAAGUCUGAUGGAGCAAUACCACGUGAACGAUGAAGGUCUUCUGAUUGUAAAGUUCUUUUAUUUAGGAAAAAAAGCGUGCUAGGAAAUGAGCGCGCCUUGAUGGUACUAAUUGAAUAAGUGACAGCUAACUAUGUGCCAGCAGCUGCGGUAAAACAUAGGUCACGAGCAUUAUCCGGAUUUAUUGGGCGUAAAGGAAGCGUAGGCGGGGAGGUUGAUCCAUUGUUAAAAGCAUUAGCUUAACAAAUGUGUGCAUUGGAGAUCGCCUCCCUAGAGUUAAUCAGGGGGUACUGGAAUUCAAUGUGUAGCGGUGGAAUGCGUAGAUAUAUUGAGGAACACCAGAGGCUAAGGCGAGUGCCUAGGAU
rnacentral:rRNA from 1 species